rnacentral:rRNA from 1 species
UACGUAGGCAGCGAGCGUUUGUUCGGAGUUACUGGGCGUAAAGGGUGUGUAGGCGGUUCUCUAAGUUUGGUGUGAAAUCUCCCGGCUCAACCGGGAGGGUGCGCCGAAAACUGGGGGACUCGAGUGCGGGAUGGGAGAGUAGAAUUCCUGGUGUAGCGGUGAAAUGCGUAGACAUCAGGAGGAAUACCGGUGGUGUAGACGGCUCUCUGGACCGCCACUGACGCUGAGACACGAAAGCGUGGGUAGCAAACAGG